AAUGCAAAUACCAUUCAAAAUGUAUCAAUAUUAGAAUCCACAUGGAUGGACAGCCUAGUCUCGCUAGUGGUCAGCGCCUGGAGUGGUCAUCGUAUUACAGUCCACAUAGCCAAGUAGACUGUGUUUUCCUGAACAUGUAGGAUGUCUUCAUACUGACUGUUGAUACUUGUGAAGUGCUGUCCAAUAGCAUGCAGAACUCAUUAAAGUCUUGCAGCCAAAUGUUGCGCUUUAGUCUUCAGUU